UAGGGAAUCUUCCACAAUGGACGCAAGUCUGAUGGAGCAACGCCGCGUGAGUGAAGAAGGUUUUCGGAUCGUAAAGCUCUGUUGUUGGUGAAGAAGGAUAGAGGUAGUAACUGGCCUUUAUUUGACGGUAAUCAACCAGAAAGUCACGGCUAACUACGUGCCAGCAGCCGCGGUAAUACGUAGGUGGCAAGCGUUGUCCGGAUUUAUUGGGCGUAAAGCGAGCGCAGGCGGAAGAAUAAGUCUGAUGUGAAAGCCCUCGGCUUAACCGAGGAACUGCAUCGGAAACUGUUUUUCUUGAGUGCAGAAGAGGAGAGUGGAAUUCCAUGUGUAGCGGUGGAAUGCGUAGAUAUAUGGAAGAACACCAGUGGCGAAGGCGACUCUCUGGUCUGCAACUGACGCUGAGGCUCGAAAGCAUGGAUAGCGAACAGG
rnacentral:rRNA from 1 species